CUUCUUUCUUCGUCAUUAUCUUCAUCUUCUUCUUUCUUUUAAAUCUCAGACCUCGUCUGAGAGUUUUGGACAGCAAGCUUCCACGGCAUCAGCCACCGUCAGAAAGAUAUGGUCGUGUCCUAGCAUGUCAGCAAAGUGCGACAAGUGUAGCUUGCCAAUCACCAACGGUCCAGGGUUCGCAAGAACCAACUGUUAUAAACACAAAAACAGAAUCAAACUUUAUAACUCUCCAAAAAAGGAGAGAUCGUUGACCAGGAGAGCCACUGCAACGUGGCCAAAGCCAGAUGAUUUGGAUAUUGAAAUAAAUGUGGAUAUAAUACGGUAAAUGUCAGUAGUUAUCCCAGAGUAAGCGACGAGAAAUUAACGUUAUUUAUCUUCCUAUCAGUUUCCUAGUAUUUAAUUUUAUUUUUGCUUUGAGUAGACGAUAAAGAAGUAUCGCAUUAUACUAUUUUUUCGAAUAUUCGAAAAUAUAUAAUAUAAUUAAGUAACA